UUCGGAGCUUCUUCUUCUUUGACCGUCUUCAUCGUCUCUAUUCCUCUCUUUUUCACUACAACAACCAGAACGAUAUGUAACGCCUUCUCCCUUCUCAUUAAGUUUCACCAUUAACUCGAAGUUCUCCUACUACGUCAAAUUUAAUUACUUUUCUCCUCACCUCCUUUUCAAAUCCCUAAUUUUCUAUACUAUAAAUAAUGAUGCAACCAUCUCCAAAUCUCACUGCUUCACCAGAUUCUUUACCGAUCGUCCUUACAAGCACAUCCUAUAACAAUGGUGGGAUCCCUUUUGUUCUUUCCGAUUUGAAGGCGAGUCCGUGUUCUCAAACGGUGGUGACGCGUCUCCUACAUUGAAGCGCGCAAUACGAAGAAAAUCUGUGAGCUGAUGGAUGUAGUCAUGCUCCUCCUUGAUGAAAAGUCAACACGUCUCCAAAGUUCCAUAUUUGUUCAUCGCCUAAGGAAGGAAACUCUGGCCUCUCGCUUCAAGACCGUGUGAAGCUACAGCUUGCUUUAGCCAAAGAAUAUGGUGUUAACAGAGAGCAAGUCCGAGAACUCAUUAGGCAAUAACUUGUACUUGAGAAUCCACCCAAUAAACCUUAUGUUUUUGUAUUUUUAUUUAUACUCUUCAAUAGAUUUCUCUCUUGAUGAACGAGCGCUCUUUAGGUGACGAUGGAGAGCUUCGUUCUACAAAUAAUGAGGCUUUAUCUACUGUUUCCUAUCGCAUUGAGUGGAAUAUGAGACAUGCUCUCAAGCCAACGUUUGAAACUCUCUUUCAGAUGUUAAAUACUCAAUCCUGUUGAUCUUCAUUAGUCAUACUACGGAUGUGGCUUAGUCCUGCUACUUUAAAGCUUCAUCAAAUCACUUGGAAUGAUUAUGCUUCCUUGCUUGAGAAAACUUUUGCUUAUGAGGUGAUGAUCUGCCAGGAGCUACAUGUGUGUCCUGCAUCUGCUCUAAAAGCCACAAGUCGUCUGCAACUGAUCAGGCCACCGGCAGUGAUGGCGUCCACUUACUGAAACAGCAGUAGCUGAGCACCACACAGUUGGGAGCUCAGCAAAUGAGCCACAUGUUUCAACAACAGAGAGGGAGUUUAAGAAAGAACCCAAAGCAUAGAUGCUGAAGAUAGCCAAAUGAAGGCUCCUCCACUUUCUCGCAAGCUUUUUUCCUUUUAGUUUCUUUAAAAAAACCUAUGGUUCUACGUUCACGUUUCCUAUAUUCUAAAUGAAUAAAAUCAUAU